rnacentral:rRNA from 1 species
CCUACGGGAGGCAGCAGUGAGGAAUAUUGGUCAAUGGCCGGAAGGCUGAACCAGCCAAGCCGCGUGAGGGAGGAAGGCGCAGAGCGUCGCAGACCUCUUUUGCCGGGGGACAAAAGGCCGGACUCGUCCGGUCCUGAGGGUACCCGGAGAAAAAGCAUCGGCUAACUCCGUGCCAGCAGCCGCGGUAAUACGGGGGAUGCGAGCGUUAUCCGGAUUCAUUGGGGUUAAAGGGUGCGCAGGCGGGCCUUUAAGCCGGCGGUGAAAGCGCGGGGCUAAACCCCGCCCAGCCGUCGGAACUGGGGGCCGUGAGUGCGGCGGAGGCAUGCGGAAUGCGCGGUGUAGCGGUGAAAUGCAUAGAUA